rnacentral:lncRNA from 1 species
AUGACCCACGAGAAAGGGAAAGGGGAAAACACCAAUCCUGCGCUGGGCUUUUUCGACUUUUCCUUUAAAAAGAAAAAAGUUUUUCAAGCUGUAGGUUCCAAGAACCGGCAGGAGGGGGGCGAGGCGGGGUGGGGGGGUGUACAGAAAAGGCGCCUGGUCGGUUAUGAGUCACAAGUGGGUUAUAAAAGGGUCGCACGUUCGCAGGCGCGGGCUUCCUGUGCGCGGCUGAGCCGGGGCGCAGCGCGACGGUCCCAUCGGGCGGCCUCCACCCUCGGGACGCGAGCGGAGCGCCGAGCCCAGCGGCGAUCACGCGACGCGGGGAAGGAAGGAAGGUGGUGCAAACCAGGAAGGGGAAAUCUGUGGUUUACGUUCUCUGUGCCUCAUCCCUCUCGGAGAGCUGGAGGCUUGCUGGAGGCUAUAUGCUGUUAAUGCUAAUUGUGAUAGGGGUUUUUACCUCCGUCUGACUCCUACAUGUUAGCAUUAACAGGGUAUGAUGCCUGUUACUAGCAUUCACAUGGAACAAACUGCUGCUGUGGGAGGAUGACAAAGAAGUGUGAGUCACCCUGCUGGAUAAACUCAGACUUUAAGCUUUAUUAUUUUUUGUUAAUCAUAAUCUGGUCACUGGGAUGUUCCACCUGAUAGUAAGUCUUUAAGAAUAAGGUCUUGUAAAAGAUUUAUCAACGGUAUCCUGAAAGCAAACUUUUUUACUUUAAUCCUUAAGCCCACAUUUUUUUUAAAAAAAUCUUUAAUGGAAAAUGUAUUCCUGUCCUUUUUAAUUCACAGUUAUGGUUUGUUCAUUAUAACUGUUUAUAAACACUUUGAAUAAUUUAACUAGAAAGAAAUAUAAACACAUUCUGAGUAUCUUUGCAGUUAAAAAUUAGGACUACUAUCCACUAAUUAAUCAUGGAUUGUUGGGAAAUAUGUUCAAAAAGAUUUAGAAAUUGGUAUUUCCCCCAUGUAACAAUUCUAUUUAGACAACUUCAGUUUCAAAUGGAUACUUUUAUAUGAAUCUUAAAGUAGACUUGAAAGGCUAUGGCAAUUAGUUUUUAAAAAAUGAAAGAUUUCAUUCUUUUUUAUGGCUGAGUAGUAUUCCAUUGCAUAUAUAUACCACAUAUCCUUAAUCCACCCAUUCGUCUGUCGCUGGACAUUUAGGCUGUUUCCAUUUGCAGCAACAUGGAUGCAAAUAGAGAUUCUCAUACUAAAUGAAGUUAAGUCAGAAAGAUAAAGACAAAUUCCAUAUGAUAUCAGUUAUAUGUGGACUCAAAAAUAUGGCACAAAUGAACCUAUCUACAAAACAGAAACAGACCCACAGACAUAGAGAAUAGACUUGUGGUUGCCAAGGGGGAGGGAAGAGGGAGUGGGAUGGAUGGGCAGUUUGGGGUUAGUAGAUACAGACUAUUACAUUUAGAUUAGAUGGGCAAUGAGGUCCUACUAUUCAGCACGGGGAACUAUAUCCAGUCUCUUGGGAUAGACCAUGAUGGAAGAUAAUAUAAGACAAGGAAUGAAUAUAUACAUAUGACUGGGUCACCUUGCUGCAAUAGCAGAACUUGCCACAACGUUGUACAUCAACUAUACGUUAAUAAAAAAAUCAAAAAGAUUUUUUAAACUUAGUACAGUUAAUGACAUGUGAGAACCAAUCCAUCUUUUCCCUACAAGAUAACAAAGAUUUGAUCAAAAAAAAUCUCUUAUUUGAAAUUAAGUCCCAAAACUAUGUUCAAAUUCAAUAGCUUAGCCGUUAGGUCAGAAAAUCCACCUCUCCUCUUCUCAGCUUGUUUAUUGUCCCACAGAAUGGGCUAAUACUUAACAGAGUUGGUAUGAGGCUUACGUGAGAUGGAGAACUAUUUUGUAAAAUAUGAAGUAUCAAUGUUAAUAUAUUAAUAAUAUAUUAACGUUAUAGUCAAAUUAAUCCCCCCUCUUUGUUAGAGAAAAACUAAUGAUUUGAUCCACAGAAUUUUUCAGGUCUGGAUUUCUAUGCCAUUUUUCUCCAGAGUUAUAGAACUGUACCACUUACAAAUACAUAGCUAAUUGUAAUCAGCAUCUUUAAUGUGUGUUUGUGUUAGCAACUCUUCUCAAUGUUUUGUCAAACAAGUUAUGUGCACUGAAACCAAAUAAAUCACUUGAGUGGUUGAUUUAAAAUAAUUUUUUGUUAUGGCCUUUUUUCUUUUGCAUCAUACAAAUUAUAAUUUCAGAAGUUAUUUACACACACACACACACAC